AUCAGAGCAUAACUUCCGUGUUGCUUCUCUCCUUCCACAGAAAACUCAGGUGGUCAGGCUUGGUGGCAAGCGCCUACACCCGGCGAGCCGUCUCGCAGACACUUACACUGGGGACAUUGACUUCAAGCUAAGCAUUUCCAACUCCUAGAACCAAAGCAGGCUGAAGCGAGAUGACCCAGGGGCCAGUCACCCAGGAGAAGGCUGCCUCCGGCUUCUGGCUGGCCGACUGCGCAUGUCCUCCCAGCACAGUGCCCGCUACAGUCGAGAAAGCCUCGGCCAAGCCCGCACCCGACAGGCUCGGGGCUACAAGGCUUGUGGGGUUUAACCUGGGUCGACCUCCAGGAAAAUCAAGAUCAGAGCGGAGACGUGCUGAGAGGUAGGGACAGUCUGGAGUCUUAGGAGGUGGGACUUGGGCGGAUGCACUCCUCUGGGCGCUCACGGUGCGUGGUGGAUACUCUGACCCGCUCCUCUUGGCUGACCACGCACGAGGGCAGUCAUCCUGGGGAAACUGAGGCCGCCAAAGUCAUAGGGCUCAUCCGAACAUCCUGCCCCAACCCGGCGCGGCAUCCAAGCACCUGCUCCAUCUGGGGACACCCGGAGGUCUAGGCCGCCACACAUAGCCCAGGGGGAGCGGUGAUAAAGAUGCGGAACUCGUCGCGCGAACGCAGAGGGGAGGGAGGAGGCGUUGAGAGUCUUGCGCCAUGUGAGCUGGAUCCGCGUGGGUCCCGUCAACCCAGCCGCUGUUGACGACGCCCAGGACCCGGAGUCCUGUGGACACAGCAUUCGGGUGACCUCGGAGCCUCAAGAGAUCUGCAGCUCGCCUGCUCCAACGCCCCUUCCCCAAUAUCCCUUCCUUAGAACCUCGGUCCCCUCCUGCAUCCUUCUGUUCUAUGAUACCUUCCAGAGCCUCAAGAGGGCGCUGUGGGCGCGCUGCUGGAGGCCGCGCCUCCUGCCUCCAACUUAAGGUCCGAGCUGGAACUAGCUUUUGACACGAGCUCUUGAAUACGUGUGUGGGACAGGCAAGGUGACAUAACCCUGAAGCCUCAAUCGCAGGAGAGAAAUAAAGGCUUUUUUCCUUGUUUACUCUUUCUUACCUUGAA
rnacentral:lncRNA from 1 species